AACGUAGGAGGCGAGCGUUAACCGGAAUUACUGGGCGUAAAGCGCGUGUAGGCGGUCCCGCAAGUUGGAUGUGAAAUCACCUGGCUUAACCGGGAGAGUUCGUUUAAUACUGCUAGACUAGAGAGCGGGAGAGGGGGGUGGAAUUCCGCGUGUAGCGGUGAAAUGCGUAGAGAUCCGGAGGAACACCGAUGGCGAAGGCUGCCCCCUGGACUGUCUCUGACGCUCAUACACGAAAGAGAGGGUAGCAAACAGG
rnacentral:rRNA from 1 species